GUCUACCACCAUACUAUCCUAAACCUGCCCAAUCUCAUCUGGUCUUGGAGCUAAGCAAGGUUGGGCCUGUUUAGUACUUAGAUGGGAGACAGAUCUUCAGAAGAGACUGCUCAGAGACAAACAGUUGGAGACA
rnacentral:rRNA from 1 species